rnacentral:lncRNA from 1 species
CAGAUGCAGCUCAGAUCCCACAUUGCUGUGGCCGUGGCGUAGGCCAGCAGCUACAGCUCCGAUUUGACCCCUAGCCUAGGAAUCUCCAUAUACUGCGGGCAUGGCCCUAAAAAGCAACAACAAAAAAAAAAAAAAAAGAAAGAAAGAAAAAGGAAAAGAAAAACACUGACUGCCAGAAUUACAGACCCAAAGCAGAGAUAAGCUAUAUCACUGUCAGGGAGGUUUUAAUUCUCAUGUGGAGGAAAAGGAAGGGGCACAUUGAUUUCCUGAGAUCCAAAGAAAUUCUAUCCUAUUCUAUUUCAUUCUAUCCUAUCCAUUCAUUCAUUCAACAAAUAUCCAUUGAGUAUAUAAGUAGCAUCAAACAAUGUGAUAUAUGCCGAGGAUAUGGAAACAAAAUAUAUUUGGUCCCUUUUCUCCAAGAAUGCAGAGUUUAGUAUGGGAGACAGAAAUUACUCCUUUCUAGGCAAAAAGAAUCAAGCAAAAACAAGCAGCUUUAGAGGAUUUUGCUUUUAAAAGAAAAAUUGCCAACAUUCAGAGUGUUUGGGCCACCAAUUCACACUGCAAUCAAUCUUCUAAACUCUAAUUCAUCUCCAUCUGCAGGCUUGAGCGGUGGGAAUUUCUGUUCUUAAGAUAUGGGAUCAGAAAAGAAGAUCCAGUUCUGCUCAUUAGACAUCAGAUGAGAAAGUAGGUGCAUAUUUUGUUUUGUGUUUGCAUUGUCAUGUUCAGUGGAUGCUUUUUCAGAUAUGUUAAUUUUAUAUCAAAGGAAUUCCAUGCGCAGAGAUUUUUUUUUUUUUUUUGUCUUUUUAGGACCACACCUGCAGCAUAUGAAAGUUCCCAGCCUAGGAGUUCAAAUCAGAGCUGUUGUUGCUGGCCUACACCACAGCCACAGCAUUGCCAUAUCCUUAACCCACUGAUCGAGGCCAGGGAUCGAACCUGUGUGCUCAAGGAUACAAGUUGGGUUUGUUACCACUGAGCCACAAUGGGAACUCCCAAGGCCAGGAUUUUUAAAGGUUAGCUCUGUAUUUCGAAACAUGCACAGAUUGUGAUUUCUUGACUAAUUUCCCUCAGACAUUAUUUAUUAAUUUCUUUCUUGCAGAAGAUAAGCACUUAGCUCUCUUCUGUGGGGAUGAGUUAUUUUCUUAAUCCUGCACCAAAAUGAGCAUUCUCUGAUUCUCAGAGCCUGUAGUGCUUCUCAGAAUCCCAUACAGGCUGUUCUUACCCUGCUGCUUGUCCAGGCUAGAGAGCGAGUGAGCUUUGAUGGGGGCGAUGUUGCUGGUCUCAAAUACACAGGCAGCCUCCCCACAGGCACUGGCUGUUGCUAUUUCCCAGUUGGAAUUGCUCAGAGAGGUCUAGGCCUCCUGGAAAGUAGGCCAGCAUUGCAAAUAUUU